rnacentral:tRNA from 1 species
GAAGGUACAGCUCGGUGGUAGAGUGGGUGCUUAGCAUGCACAAGGUUCUGGGUUCAACCCCCAGUACCUACA